CCUUUUGAGCAUGACGUCAUUCGUCCUGUCGGGCGUCCUCACAAAUUACCUGCAUUCAGAGAUUCAUACCGGCACAGGUCGGUAUGCGAAGUCCCUUUUG
rnacentral:rRNA from 1 species